GACGAACGCUGGCGGCGUGCUUAACACAUGCAAGUCGAACGCAUCCUUCGGGGUGAGUGGCAGACGGGUGAGUAACGCGUGGGAACGUGCCCUUCAGUUCGGGAUAACCCAGGGAAACUUGGGCUAAUACCGGAUACGUGCGAGAGCAGAAAGAUUUAUCGCUGAAGGAUCGGCCCGCGUCUGAUUAGCUAGUUGGUGGGGUAAUGGCCCACCAAGGCGACGAUCAGUAGCUGGUCUGAGAGGAUGAUCAGCCACAUUGGGACUGAGACACGGCCCAAACUCCUACGGGAGGCAGCAGUGGGGAAUAUUGGACAAUGGGCGCAAGCCUGAUCCAGCCAUGCCGCGUGAGUGAUGAAGGCCUUAGGGUUGUAAAGCUCUUUCGUCCGGGACGAUAAUGACGGUACCGGAAGAAGAAGCCCCGGCUAACUUCGUGCCAGCAGCAGCCGCUG
rnacentral:rRNA from 1 species